rnacentral:rRNA from 1 species
AGAGUUUGAUCAUGGCUCAGAUUGAACGCUGGCGGCGUGCUUAACACAUGCAAGUCGAUCGGUAACGCGGGGGCAACCCUGGCGACGAGAGGCGGACGGGUGAGGAACGCUUGGGAAUCUGCCYWUCAGCGGGGGACAACCCGGGGAAACUCGGGCUAAUACCGCAUACGCUCYACGGAGGAAAGCCGGGGACCGCAAGGCCUGGCACUGAWRGAUGAGCCCAAGYCGGAUUAGCUAGUUGGCGGGGUAACGGCCCACCAAGGCGACGAUCCGUAGCUGGUCUGAGAGGACGAUCAGCCACACCGGAACUGAGACACGGUCCGGACUCCUACGGGAGGCAGC